rfam:Ciona savignyi cont_37062, whole genome shotgun sequence.
GCUUAUCACCAUUCCAGAUUGAAUAUACCCGAUCUCGUCUGAUCUCGGAAGUCAAGCAAUCUCGGGCUUGG